CGCGGCGCCGCGGAGGCUACCGGCGCUUCCGCCUGUGGGGCUGCCCCCGGGCAGGUGCCGGCUCCGGUCUUGAGCUGUGAAACAUGGCAGAGGAGCCAGGGGGGCUGCGUCUCGGUGCUGUAGGUCCUCCCCGGUGUGUCUUGAAGGGAGAGCCGCGCUAGGCUGCGCGUUUCAGGGCGGAAAGCAUCCCAGCAAGGUUCCUGCGGCGUAUAAGUACAUGCAGUAUCGUCUUCCCAGUAUCUUGCCCAUAAUUACUGAUGGCUGAAUGGAGAUGAUGGCUGAAUGGCGUUUUCUUUGGAUCCCUUCAGUGGGUGGAAGAUCCCUGCGUUCCCUGAAUCAUAGGUUUCUCACUUGGCAAUUUUUAGGCUCAGGUUUUAUAUUAGUUUUGCAUGUUUCAGAAAACACCAGAAUCAUGGAGGGGCUCUUGCAUUACAUAAAUCCAGCACAUGCUAUUUCACUUCUAAGCACACUGAAUGAGGAGCGUCUAAAGGGACAGCUGUGUGAUGUUGUUCUCAUUGUAGGAGAUCAGAAAUUUCGAGCUCAUAAAAACGUUCUGGCUGCCAGCAGUGAAUACUUCCAGACUCUGUUCACGAAUAAGGAGAAUGAGUCUCAGUCAGUGUUUCAACUUGAUUUUUGUGAGCCAGAUGCUUUUGAUAAUGUAUUAAACUACAUUUAUUCUUCAUCCUUGUUCAUUGAGAAAGGCAGUCUUGCAGCUGUGCAAGAACUGGGAUACAGUCUUGGAAUAUCCUUUCUUACAAACAUUGUUUCUAAGAGUCCUCAAGCUCCUUUUCCUGCUUGCCCUAUGAAAAAGGUACUGUAUCAAGAUGAAGAUGAAAGUAGUUCUCAGAAGAGAAGUGUCAUUGUCUGUCAGAACAGAAUUGAAGCACAAGUGAAAGGUAUAAAUCAAACACAACAUGAUUUAAGCCAUACUUCUAAACCUUCAUCCUCCGUUGCUGUCAAAACUAGCAGUAGACCACAAGUAACAAAACCAGCUGAAACCCUUCACAACUUGUCACUGACUGAAAGGAGAUGGCUGAAAGAAAGCCCUGUGAGCUGUACCAAGGUUCAUGAAACUUCUGGAACUGUGGAGGAUCAGAGCAGAGGUGGUUUACUGAAAAGGAACACAGUACUCCCUCAAAUGCCUUUAGCAGAAAAAGAAAUUGCAAGUGAUGAACCAGGAAGCAGUGGUCAGCUUUUAAGAGGAAAGGCUGCAGAGAUGUCAUUAAAAAGAUCACGCCCACCAGUCUUGUCUCUACGCGGUACAUCAGAAUCUACGUUUUUGUUGCGAGAGGCAGGAAAAGGAAAUUUUCAAGGUGAAGACAGGAAUUUGCUAUACUACUCAAAGUUAGGGCUAGUAAUCCCAUCUAGUGGAUCUCGUCCAGAAAACCAAAGUAUUGACAGAAGUGGGCCACUUGUAAAAAGUCUCCUUCGAAGAUCACUGUCCAUGGACAGCCAGGUUCCCAUUUACUCACCUUCUGUUGACCUAAAACCUUCACAGGUAUCAUCAUCCUCCUCACUGGGAACUAAUGAUGCCCAGAAGACAUUUAAUGUUGUAUCUCAAAAGUCAUCCUUGAAAGAGUCAUCAGAGAAAUUAGUCGUAGAUGAAAAACCACAGGUAAUACACCCACAUCGCCUUAGGUCUUUCAGUGCCUCUCAGUCAACUGAUAGGGAGAUUGCUUCUCCUCUCACAGAGGUGCGAAUAAAAACUGAACCUAGCAGUCCACUUUCAGAUCCUGCUGAAAUAAUAAGAGUUACAGUGGGUGAUGCUUCAGCAUUGGCAAAUAAAGACUUUUCUUUUAAAACUGAGGAUGAUCAUAAGGAAUCAAGUAGCCUUCCAGCAAAAAGGAGAUUUCAAGCUGAUAGAACAAUACCAUUCAAGAAACUGAAGGCAGAUGAGCAGGGUUCUCCUAGGUCAGAAGAUAACUUUGAGGAAGGCUCUAGUUCUACACACCUUGAUGCUGAUUUUCCUGAUUCUGAUGUCAGUAAAGAUGAAUACAGUGAGUUGGAAGAAGCAAGACCAAAUAAAAAAUUUAAAUGCAAGCACUGCCUUAAAAUUUUCAGGUCAACAGCAGGUCUUCAUCGUCAUGUUAACAUGUAUCAUAAUCCAGAGAAGCCCUAUGCUUGUGACAUAUGCCACAAGAGAUUUCACACAAAUUUCAAAGUGUGGACGCACUGCCAGACACAACAUGGAAUUGUGAAGAAUCCCUCACCAGCUUCCAGUUCGCAUGCUGUUUUGGAUGAAAAAUUCCAAAGAAAACUGAUUGAUAUAGUGAGAGAGAGAGAAAUUAAGAAGGCUCUAAUCGUUAAACUAAGACGUGGCAAGCAAGGUUUUCAGGGACAGUCUGCUUCACAAGCACAACAAGUCAUCAAAAGGAAUUUAAGAUCGAGAACCAAAGGAGCCUAUAUUUGUACCUAUUGUGGGAAAGCGUUUCGUUUCCUCUCACAAUUUAAGCAGCACAUAAAAAUGCACCCAGGGGAGAAACCAAUUGGAGGAAAUAAGGCUCUUAAGCAGAAAGAUCAUAUUCAUAUUGAAAGUCCAGCAGAAAACAAAGAGGUUUAUCAGUGUCGUCUUUGCAAUGCUAAGCUCUCUUCACUUAUUGAACAGGGAAAUCAUGAGCGACUCUGUAGAAAUGCUACUGUCUGUCCUUACUGCAGCCUUAGGUUUUCUUCUCCAGAGCUGAAGCAUGAGCAUGAAAGCAAGUGUGAAUACAAGAAGCUUACUUGUCUUGAGUGUAUGCGUACCUUUAAAUCAUCCUUUAGUAUUUGGCGUCAUCAAGUUGAAGUUCAUAAUCAAAACACAAUGGCUCCAUCAGAGAACUUUUCUUUACCUAUCCUGGAUCACAAUGGUGAAAUAACUAGCUCAUCAAGAUUGCCUCCUCAGGCAGAAUCCAAUAAAAUGAACAAUUUUGUUACUGCAAAGGAAGACAGUGUGUUCAGUGAUUCGUCAGAACAAAUAAAUUUUGAUUCUGAAGAUUCCUCGUGCCUACCCGAAGACCUGAGUGUUUCCAAGCAGUUUAAAAUUCAGAUCAAAGAAGAGCCUGCGGAUGAUAUAGAGGAUGAGGUCACCGAAACAAGCAGGGAGCCAAAGGAAGUAGUCUCCAACAAAGAUGCUGGUUUGUGGCCCUGUGAAAAGUGUGGGAAGAUUUUCACUGUACGCAAACAGCUGGAGCGUCACCAAGAGCUCUUAUGCUCUGUGAAGCCAUUUAUUUGUCACGUGUGUAACAAGGCCUUCCGAACCAACUUCCGGCUGUGGAGUCACUUCCAGUCUCAUAUGUCACAGGCUGCAGAAGAGUCCGCAAAUAAGGAGCCUGAGAUAUGUCCACCAGCUAAUUCUCCAUCACCCCCACCCUUACCUCCACCCCCACCCCUCCCCAAAAUCCAGCCUUUGGAGCCUGAUAGUCCGACAGGCUUAUCUGAAAGCUCCACUACUACUGAAAAAUUGUUUGUACCACAGGAGUCAGAUACACUCUUCUAUCAUGCUCCACCACUCUCAGCAAUCACUUUCAAAAGACAGUACAUGUGUAAACUCUGUCACAGGACUUUCAAGACUGCUUUUAGUCUUUGGAGCCAUGAACAGACACACAAUUAGCUUUAACAGAUAAGUUUAAAAGGUGGUUCAUUGGAGGCUGUGUUCAGGAUCUCAGAUGUAUGCCAUAUAAACUAGAAAUUCAAGAGGAUCAAAAUGACAACAAGGAUGAUGAAAAAUUUGGAAUUUGUGAUGCUGCUUUGAUUUGAAGAUUAAGUACAUGCCCCACUGAACAUUUUACUGGAAAAUACAAGAAAACCAACUGCUCUAAACAAUCUCAAAAAGUUGAGUACAGCCCAGAUUCGGCUUCCUAUUCAGAAUGGAGCUUUCUGGAAGCAAGGUUAAAUCAACUGAGUAUCUCUUUCAUCUAAAACUGGAGCAAGCCAGAUGUUUGCAAAUACAUGGUCAGGAAUGUUUAUGGUAUUUUGCAGUGCUCUCAUCGAAAGCAGUUUUGCUGCAUGUAUUUCCCUCUUCAAAACCGCCUGGGUGUGGAUUCCCAUGAUGCAGAAAACUGUCUUUUGGGAACAGGGUUUACUAGGCUUCUCUUUAAAGUAAAUGAGACAUGUUUGAGAACUCUUAGGCCAGUUUUCUCAACUUCUUGGCCUCCACAAUGUCUAUCCUUUGUGCAGUUUGGUUGAACCCAUUGACCAACUUCACUCACAUUUAACAGAGGAGACAAGGUCUCUCAAGUUAAUCGUUAACAGGUUUCAUAAAAAUCACUGACUGAGUAGCAAAGAAUGGUCUUAGUGGGAAGGACAAGAUGUACAUCAAGAGCAUGUGCUGAGCAGUUAUCUGUGGUUUUUAUCCCAGCACUUGACAUCCCAGUGUGUGCAUGUGUACUAUCUUGUCAGUGUAAGUGGGGCAAUAGGUCAGGUGAAACAUAUGGCAGAGCUGCACUUCAGAAGUCAGGUGAGCUGUGGAAAAGGCAAAGAGAGGGCUGAUAGCUGUUCUCUUAAGUUGUUCACAGAGUCAUAAAUCACCAAAGGUUUGGCUUCCUCUUUCUCCUUUCUGCAUAGGGAACUCCUCCAGCUCUUUCCACAUCCAGGUAACAUCUAUAUACAGUCCUCUCUCUGUUACUGUUUCAGAGCAAACUAAGAUCUACUUAAAUGCUUCAUAGAAAAUGCCUCUGCUCUAGAGACCAUGCAACCUAUAUUUGACAUAAAAGCCAAAAAGCAAACCAAAAUGAUAAAAAGUUACUGAUAAUGCUGUAAGUUUUAUGCCUAUUUUCAUGGUGGUUAUAAUUCCAGCUGUCUGCUUCUCAGACAGUGCUCUGCAAACAAAUCCAGUAAUGUUUACUUACUUUUCCCUUCACAGGAUGUUUCCAGUUAUCACCCUUUUUUUAAUAUACAAAUACCAAGAGGAUAUUUUUUACUUCUUGUAUUACAAGUAACCUAUGUGGGUAAUAUUUGUUUCCAGUCCUGAAAUACUCUGAUAAUAAGAAUUUUCAAGGUCUUGGCUGCAGCAAAGCAAUGUACACAACUUUUAUUUCCCCUUCAUACUACAUGUGUUGAAAGAGUGUAUCGAAAGCAAAGCCAGUUUCUGCUAACAAAGAAUUUGCUUUAAAUUGUCUCUGCAGUUUUGAUACUAUUCUUAACAGUUUAUUAAUGUCUUGUCAGUCCAGGGUCUAGGAUGGAUACAGCUCUUCAAUAUCAUGGAGCCUGGCUGUAGACAUUAGCUUAAGCUGGUAUUUGUGGGUGCAUGUUCUCAUCUAGCAACAUGCAUCCCUACAGUGAGGUCCAGUGGUGUUAAAAACGAGGCAAUGAUGCCUUUUAAAAAAAGAGGCAAAGAUGCUGUAACAUCUGUGAAAAAGUUGAAGGGAAGAAAACUUCCCAAAAGAUUGUUUAAUACUAUUUCCCUUACAAUCUUGCCUUGGAGAAAGUUCAGAUCCUUUUGGAGCACCCUUGCACAUCACAAGGGCUUCACCAGGAGUGGCAAUUAUACCUAUGGAGAUACAUUGACAGUUUCUCCCCCUUGCCACAUAAAAGACUUCCUCUCUGUAUGGCAGCCCAGGGCUGUGAUUAACAAGGCAGCUGCUGUUUCCUGCUGCCUCUUCUUCACUCAUCAAUCGACUGAGCAGCCAAACACCAUGAAAAGGAAACUUGACUUUGUUAGUUUGUAUUCAGAUUACUUGUCCCAGGAUAAAUUUGACUGAGGCAUGUAAAAGCAUGUAAACACAUCUUUUAAAGGCAUGAGAAAAAAACCCAACAAACUAUACAAAUACCAAACUGUUGCUCUGAGCAAGCCUGGAGGAGAAUUACAGAUACUAAAAAUGAGAUUUGAAAUUGGGUGGGGUUUUUUAGCAAGCAUUACUACAAGACUGAAAAGGGGGAGAUCCACACAGAACCUUUGUUUUAUAGAGAUGAUCCUAUAAUCUAUUACGUACCUCUAACACUUGUGUGCAUGCACUAGGAGGAGCCAGAAACAAAAGACUGAACCAUCACAUCCACCUGAAGAGCCACACUUGAAAGCAUCACACCAAAGGCGAACCCUUCUCUAUAUCUAUUUGUAUGUAUAUAAAAAUGCAUCUGAGUGUGUUUAACUAUGGCUCAGUUACACUGUAAGGGCCGAGUCUGGAUAAAAUUCCCUGUUAGGUCAAAGGCAUGUUACAAUACACUUUUGUCUAAAAGCUAGCUGUCUUCUCUGGAGUAUUUUCACUGUUCUAGAAGGCAGCAUGGAUUCUGAGAUUUUUCAAAAGCCUUUAUUUCAUACUCUUGCUACUGAUUUCCUACAACAUUGUUUGAAAUGUGUUUGCUCUCAGUCUAAUAUUUGAAGAUCUCUUUUAGUACUUAAGAAGUCCUUUCUUCUUUCUGAUGCCCAGUGUUCCCAAAGGUAGUUGGGCUUAGUGUCCUCAAGCAUGUGUGUGAGGGACAUACGAGUGUUUGUACUGCAUGGAAGAAGCACACAUCCCUGGGAAGCCAGCAGCUCCUGGGCUGGAGCCUAAGAUUCAGGAGAGGCAGGAAUCUCUCCAGUAGUUCUUUGCUGCUUCUUCAGCUCUAUCUUUGACAUAAGAAGCCUUAACCAGUUGGGCACAAUGUUAACUCUGAGGCUAAAUUAACCCAUAGGCAAGAAACGAUGUAACUGGAAUUACUCGUUGUGUCUAUAGAGUGCCGUACUUGAGGAACGCAGGCCACAGUACUGCUCAUGCGUAUAUCAGUCUCUCCAUCCCAGCACCAUCACCUCUGGUGAUACUUGCGCUCUCUGGUGGAGAGAAUAGAACUGGCUCCAGCAGGUGGAAAUAAAAGAAGCUUCUCUAUCAUGUUUUAGUUUCUAAAAAUUCACAGUAUUUUAGUAAAUGUAUUUUCUAAAAGUAAUCAUCAUAGAAAAAAAUAA